rnacentral:lncRNA from 10 species
ACUUCCUGGGACUUUUCACUGUGGGCUGCCUCUUCCAGCGUUUUUUUGGUGGCGUUUAUUUCAUGAUCUGAGCCCCUCUGGGGAGGUGAACCACCUGGGUGCUCGAUUUUAGCUUUGUUGACUUUGAAGAUUAGAUUGACAAAAAUUAAAAGGGAAAAACAGGAACUCCUCCGGUUCACUGGAUCUCGCGAGGUGGCCAAACAACUAUGAAAACAAAACGUUAGCGUUUGCAGUAUUACAUCCCUCACAGCCUCUCUUACAUAUUUGCCCCCAACGCCUUUCCUCGAACUCAGAAACCAAAAGAUUUUAAGAUGGCAAAAUCACCUAAUAAUAGCCUAGCUAUUAGUUUAGCAUUUGCUGUGGAAAUAUGUCAGCAGACGAGGAAAAAUGUCUUAGGAUUCCUUUUUAAAAUUCGAACUUGUGAUUUUUAAAGUUCCUUAAAAGAAAAGCUAGAACUUAAUUUUUCAAUAACUGAAAUGCUGAUAUGACAGAAAGUGGGUGGCUAUAAACUUGGAAUUUGUUCAAUUAACAUUUACCACGAUACUUAAGGGACUAAUCCAGUCCUCAAUGAACUCAAGGUCUGGUACUAUUAGCCUGAUUAUCCCUAAUGGUGCAUAUCUGAAUAAUUUUUAAAUGCACGUGUAAGCUUUCAUGACGAUUUAAUCACAAGUUUAACAAAAUUCAGCACAGUGCUCUAAGCAGGGAAAAUGUUUCUGGCAUGUUCAAAGCCCGAAGGGACUCUGGAAGUAGGGUUUGAUUCCCAAGCUGGCCCCUUUAUACCCCUAACGCCUAUCCCUCCAACCCCCAUCUCCCAUCCUAACGGAGUCAAUAAAGGGAUCGGCCCAACUCGUCCACUAGAGCAGUCCCCUUCAUCGUGAGUUAAGCCUUCUUAAUUAUAAUGUGGUCAGUCCCCAGGUAGAGGUAAGGCCCCAGGUGUUGUGGGGUGUUGGGCCUGGGGAAGUGUUCUACAUGGCAGGAAUGACUGCAAAGCAGAAAUACUUUAAGUCUUGCUGGGAUUGAAGUUUACUGUAAGGAUUUCGUUUUAUUUGGUUAAUUUCUGUUUAACAAAAACAUUGCUUUCUGAAAAAUAAUUGAAUUUUCAGUUUCCUCACAAAUUAACUUUUUUUUUUUUUUGAGACGGAGUCUCGCUCUGUCGCCCAGGCUGGAGUGCAGUGGCACAAUCUCGGCUCGCUGCAAGCUUCACCUCCUGGGUUCACGCCAUUCUCC